AAAAACAUGUCUUUUAGGUUGUUUAUUUAAGGUUUGGCCUGCCCAAUGAAGUUGUUUUGAAUGGCCGCGGUAUUUUAACUGUGCUAAGGUAGCAUAAUCACUUGUUCUUUAAUUGUGAGCUAGAAUGAAUGGUCGGAUGAAGCAAUAACUUUCUUUAAUUUAAUUUAGGAAUUUAACUUUUUAGUCAAAAGGCUGGAAUUUAAUUGGAGGACGAGAAGACCCUAUAGAUCUUUAUAAUUAUGUAAAAAUAGGAAUUUAGAAGUUUAUUUGUUAUUAUUUAUAGGAAUUAUUUGGUUGGGGUGAUUUUAAAAUUAAAAGAACUUUUAAUUUGAAUUGAAUCAUUGAUUCAUGUAUAUUUGAUCCAUUAUUAUUGAUUAAAAGAUAAAGUUACCUUAGGGAUAACAGCGUUAUUUCUCCAGAGAGCUCAUAUCGAUGGAGGAGAUUGCGACCUCGAUGUUGGAUUAAAAUUAGUUGUAAAUGUAGGAGUUUAAUAACUAGGUCUGUUCGACCUUUAUAUUUUUACAUGAUCUGAGU
rnacentral:rRNA from 1 species